rnacentral:SRP_RNA from 1 species
GCAGGGCCUGGGCACGCUGCUGAUCGCCGGCAUGGAGGAGCUCCUCCGCAAAGAGGACGUUGACGUCGUCGUGCUCUACCCGGCUUGGAACGGCCGCGCGGCUCCCUUCUGGGCCUCGCUGGGCUUCUGCCCUUGUGGGAAUAGCU